GGGGCCUGCGAUGCAAGCACUUUGUUGGAAGCG
rnacentral:misc_RNA from 1 species